GCAAAUCAAAUGAAUAACCACUAUUCGAUCACCUUGAGAAAUCAAAUACACUAUGAUUGUAGUAAAUAUAGGCAAAUUUAGCAGCAUAAGACUAAAUUGAUUUUAAUUGAUGAGGGAAGGCAUUUCAAUAAUAGAGGACUUCCAAUUUAGGAAAAACAAUUACACAGAAUCAUACAUCAUCUUUAGCUCCUACGAAAUUGAAUCAAG
rnacentral:misc_RNA from 1 species